AGAGUUUGAUCCUGGCUCAGAUUGAACGCUGGCGGCAUGCUUUACACAUGCAAGUCGAGCGGCAGCGCGGGGGCAACCCUGGCGGCGAGCGGCGAACGGGUGAGUAAUACAUCGGAACGUGUCCCGUAGUGGGGGAUAGCCCGGCGAAAGCCGGAUUAAUACCGCAUAUGCUCUACGGAGGAAAGUGGGGGACUCGCAAGGGCCUCACGCUAUGGGAGCGGCCGAUGUCCGAUUAGCUUGUUGGCGGGGUAAUGGCCCACCAAGGCGACGAUCGGUAGCUGGUCUGAGAGGAUGAUCAGCCACACUGGGACUGAGACACGGCCCAGACUCCUACGGGAGGCAGCAGUGGGGAAUUUUGGACAAUGGGGGGAACCCUGAUCCAGCCAUGCCGCGUGCGGGAAGAAGGCCUUCGGGUUGUAAACCGCUUUUGGUCGGAAAGAAAAGGCGCACCCUAAUACGGGGCGUUCUUGACGGUACCGGCAGAAUAAGCACCGGCUAACUACGUGCCAGCAGCCGCGGUAAUACGUAGGGUGCGAGCGUUAAUCGGAAUUACUGGGCGUAAAGCGUGCGCAGGCGGUUCUCCAAGUCCGUUGUGAAAGCCCCGGGCUCAACCUGGGAAUGGCAGUGGAAACUAGGGGACUUGAAUCUGGCAGAGGGGGGUGGAAUUCCACGUGUAGCAGUGAAAUGCGUAGAGAUGUGGAGGAACACCGAUGGCGANNNCAGCCCCCUGGGCUGAGAUUGACGCUCAGGCACGAAAGCGUG
rnacentral:rRNA from 1 species